GCCGGGUGUGGUGGCUCACACCUGUAAUCCCAGCACUUUGGGAGGCUGAGAUGGGUGGAUCACCUGAGGUCAGGAGUUUGAGACCAGCCUGGCUAACAUGGUGAAACCCCAUUUCUA
rfam:Pan troglodytes isolate Yerkes chimp pedigree #C0471 (Clint) chromosome 17, whole genome shotgun sequence.